UACGUAGGGGGCAAGCGUUGUCCGGAAUUAUUGGGCGUAAAGGGCUCGUAGGCGGUUUGUCGCGUCGGGAGUGAAAUCCGCUGGCUUAACUGGUGGCUUGCUUUCGAUACGGGCAGACUGGAGGUAUGCAGGGGAGAGCGGAAUUCCUGGUGUAGCGGUGAAAUGCGCAGAUAUCAGGAGGAACACCGGUGGCGAAGGCGGUUCUCUGGGCAUGUCCUGACGCUGAGGAGCGAAAGUGUGGGGAGCGAACAGG
rnacentral:rRNA from 1 species